rnacentral:rRNA from 1 species
UACGGGGGGGCAAGCGUUGUUCGGAAUUACUGGGCGUAAAGGGCUCGUAGGCGGCCAACUAAGUCAGACGUGAAAUCCCUCGGCUUAACCGGGGAACUGCGUCUGAUACUGGAUGGCUUGAGGUUGGGAGAGGGAUGCGGAAUUCCAGGUGUAGCGGUGAAAUGCGUAGAUAUCUGGAGGAACACCGGUGGCGAAGGCGGCAUCCUGGACCAAUUCUGACGCUGAGGAGCGAA